AUUUUCUAGCUUUAGUCCUAGAUUUUGAUCUAGAUCUACCCUUGCCCUUCUUCUUCCAUCCAUUACUACUCGACUCGCCACCACUUUGGCAUUCAUCAUGACUGUUUUGCCUAAACUAAGUUCUACCUUAUAUUAUAUGUAACUCACCACUUCUUUUAUCAUGUUUUUCAGCCCUAAUAUCAAUUUCUUUACUCCUAAGAGAAUCUAUGACAAUUUCAGGUGUCAAUGUAUUCCUACCAUACUUAAUAACAUUUUUAACUUCCUUAUAAGAGUCGGGAAUAGAAUUGAGCAAGAUUAUGGCCUUAUAGGUUUUGAACACAGCCUCAUCACAAUUAACGAUAUCUUGCAC
rnacentral:lncRNA from 1 species